rnacentral:rRNA from 1 species
ACCUGGUCUUGACAUAGUAAGAACUUUCCAGAGAUGGAUUGGUGCCUUCGGGAACUUUACAUACAGGUGCUGCAUGGCUGUCGUCAGCUCGUGUCGUGAGAUUGUUGGGUUAAGUCCCGCAACGAGCGCAACCCUUUUCCUUAUUUGCCAGCGGGUUAAGCCGGGAACUUUAAGGAUACUGCCAGUGACAAACUGGAGGAAGGCGGGGACGACGUCAAGUCAUCAUGGCCCUUACGACCAGGGCUACACACGUGCUACAAUGGUCGGUACAAAGGGUUGCUACCACGCGAGUGGAUGCUAAUCUCAAAAAGCCGAUCGUAGUCCGGAUUGGAGUCUGCAACUCGACUCCAUGAAGUCGGAAUCGCUAGUAAUCGCGGAUCAGAAUGCCGCGGUGAAUACGUUCCCGGGCCUUGUACACACCGCCCGUCACCCCAUGGGAGUUUGUUGCACCAGAAGUAGGUAGUCUAACCGCAAGGAGGACGCUUACCACGGUGUGGCAGAUGACUGGGGUGAAGUCGUAACAAGGUAGGCGUAGAUGA